UGUAUAGACCUCUGCAAGUGUAGCCUGGCCAGCCAUCCAGCUUUCUCAAUGAAAAAUCUGUCUGGAAUCAUGGGGCUUGAAUCCAAAUAUGAAGGCGGGACUUACAGGC